rnacentral:rRNA from 1 species
GGCUACAGAUUGAACGCUGGCGGAAUGCUUUACACAUGCAAGUCGAACGGCAGCACGGACUUCGGUCUGGUGGCGAAGUGGCGAACGGGUGAGUAAUAUAUCGGAACGUGCCCAGUCGUGGGGGAUAACGUAGUGAAAAUUACGCUAAUACCGCAUACGAUCUAUGGAUGAAAGCGGGGGAUCGCAAGACCUCGCGCGAUUGGAGCGGCCGAUAUCAGAUUAGGUAGUUGGUGAGGUAAAGGCUCACCAAGCCAACGAUCUGUAGCUGGUCUGAGAGGACGACCAGCCACACUGGAACUGAGACACGGUCCAGACUCCUACGGGAGGCAGCAGUGGGGAAUUUUGGACAAUGGGCGCAAGCCUGAUCCAGCAAUGCCGCGUGCAGGAAGAAGGCCUUCGGGUUGUAAACUGCUUUUGUCAGGGAAGAAAUCCUCUAGGUUAAUACCCUUGGGGGAUGACGGUACCUGAAGAAUAAGCACCGGCUAACUACGUG